rnacentral:rRNA from 1 species
AGUGAACGCUGGCGGUAGGCCUAACACAUGCAAGUCGAACGGCAGCACAGUAAGAGCUUGCUCUUACGGGUGGCGAGUGGCGGACGGGUGAGGAAUACAUCGGAAUCUACUUUUUCGUGGGGGAUAACGUAGGGAAACUUACGCUAAUACCGCAUACGACCUACGGGUGAAAGCAGGGGAUCUUCGGACCUUGCUCGAUUGAAUGAGCCGAUGUCGGAUUAGCUAGUUGGCGGGGUAAAGGCCCACCAAGGCGACGAUCCGUAGCUGGUCUGAGAGGAUGAUCAGCCACACUGGAACUGAGACACGGUCCAGACUCCUACGGGAGGCAGCAGUGGGGAAUAUUGGACAAUGGGCGAAAGCCUGAUCCAGCCAUACCGCGUGGGUGAAGAAGGCCUUCGGGUUGUAAAGCCCUUUUGUUGGGAAAGAAAAGCAGCAGGUUAAUACCCCGAUGUUCUGACGGUACCCAAAGAAUAAGCACCGGCUAACUUCGUG